rnacentral:lncRNA from 1 species
GAAAUUUGGAAGUCAGACAUGGCAAGUUUUUCUAACUGUAAGAAGUGGACAAUAGCCUAUGAUCUACAGUGCCCAUUCCAACUCAGAGAAUCUUUACAUCUGGAGAUCUAUAGCAGGGCUAUCCCUAGUGACAUGCGUGAAGAAGCUUGGAAAUGGUGCUGGGUAGGAGCUGAGUGUGCAGAAUGUGGAAAGGCAUUCUAAACCAAAGGAAGAACACGAGUAAAGAUGAUGAAGCAGGGAUAAGGCUAAAAUGAAAUUUGUGAUCUGAUCCACAUACAAGCACAGUGUAGUACAGCUGGAAUAUAGAGAAGAGCUUGAAGACUUAUGAGCAACUAUCCCGGUACUCUUGGAGGCUCUGCAACCACAGUUUGAGAAACUCCGCGUUCAAAGUUAAAAACUGUCACCUGAAUAGUUAAUAACAUCAAAGAUUGUGAAAGCAAGUAUAAAUAACACAGAGAUUAAAAUAAUGAGGCAGGAUCAGAAAGUGAGUGUUGUAUUUAUCUAUUUUUUCCUGUAUCACUGAAACAAAAACAUAACAUUUCAAAAUUAUUGUGUAGAACUCCUCUCCUCU